UACAGAGGUCUCAAGCGUUGUUCGGAUUCAUUGGGCGUAAAGGGUGCGUAGGCGGCGCGGUAAGUCGGGUGUGAAAUCUCGGAGCUUAACUCCGAAACUGCAUUCGAUACUGCGGUGCUUGAGGACUGGAGAGGAGACUGGAAUUCAUGGUGUAGCAGUGAAAUGCGUAGAGAUCAUGAGGAAGACCAGUGGCGAAGGCGGGUCUCUGGACAGUUCCUGACACUGAGACACGAAGGCCAGGGGAGCAAACGGGG
rnacentral:rRNA from 1 species